UCUGGGGACAGCUCUGUGACCAGGUUUUCCCAAUAGAGGUACCGCCUUAAAAAGAAAGGGGAAAAAAUCCCCAAAAGGAAAUGAACAGUAAGUUGUUUGCUGGACAAAAAUAGAAAGGUUGACACCCAAAAUAAAACAAUGUAAGAAAAUUCCAGAGGAAGUCCUUAGCUCCAUUUGGCAAUUGGAGUGUGGCCUCAAGCAAGCCAAUGGAAGCGCUGCAAUGACCAGAGGGUAUUAUUUGGUGUCCACAGUUGCUAAGAAGCAUGUGUAUUGACCUGGGACCAGUCACGCUUACUGAUGUUUUAAAGGCCAAGGCAGCUAUACCAAGGCCACAGAACCUGCCCGUUUUUUUGUCAUUCUGUCAAUCCUUCCCUCCGACCCUCAGCAUCCUGCCAUGUUAACUGAGUGGAUGUUGAGAAGAACUACUUGGCAGUGUCUCCUGACAAGAGCUGAAGAAGCAUGAGGCCCUCACCAGAUGUAGUUAGCUGCCCAACCCAAACUCUUCAGCCUCCAGAAGAAGCAUGAGCCUAAAUGACCAUCUGUUGUUUGUGAGUGGCUCGGUGCCAGGCGUUCUUAAGAGCACCAGUCAAUUCCCAAGGCUCUGUGUGAGGCAUGGAGCCUACACGCCCAUGCUCUUGUUCCUCUCGGAAGAGAAUAAAGCGGAAGACUUCAAGACGCUUCUUCCUAAAUAACCUGCUCUCUCCAGCUCUUGCAAACACAAGGAUGGAUUUCUCCACUUUGAAGUUCCAGACAUCUGAGACAGCAGGGUUUGAUUCAAGAGUGUGGAAGCUGCUAGAAAGAGCCACAUUUAGGGUCAAUUGCCUGAAGGAGAAACAGGCUCCUAGUGUGUGCCAUACCUGUGUUCUCAUGAGGUGGUCUCUGAGGACUGUCUGGCUUCCCUGAGGUGGAUUUGGGGCAGUCUGUGCUAUGAGCUGAGGAGCCAGGCCAGAGAAGCAUAGGAGAAAUGGUUGUCCCCUGCUGGAGAGUCAAGAGUCUGCAGUAUUAGUUAAAUCCUGUUCCUAAGGGGGGGGAAAAAUAAAGGAACAUUUGAGUGUGAGGCCAUGGUGGGUUGCAUGCUUCUGUGGAGACCCCACACUGAAGCACACAUGGGCAGCGCCAACCAGACUGAGUGGUUAUAAGAAGA